rnacentral:sRNA from 1 species
CCAACAGUUUGCUCUGCCAGCACCACCACAACUAUCAGUAAGGAUGGCGCUGUUGCGAGAGCAAGAAGCGUGCGAUCAAAAUGCAUGAUAGGCGACAACCAUUACCUACGCCAGUGGUGACUGGAUGACAAGACUCAGCUCUCACCUUUGUCAACAUCUUGCUGGGCACAGAUCGAACGCUGUAGCUCAAUUUUUACCAAUUCCGGCUCAAAAGUCAAUGUCGAUUUUUCUACAAUACGUAUUUUUAUGUUUUUACUCUAAAUAUAUAGCGGAAGCAGCUUGAAAGCUGUUUGUGUUUCGUCUCUUUCAUCAAAACAAUUUGCCCAGCCUGUCGAAUUUCCCCAGAUUCUUUGAGUCUCUGAUGACUUUAUUCAGAUACUUGUUUCCUUUGACCGAAUUUGAGAUCGUUGUGAUGCUCUCCCAGUCUAUUUCCUUUCACACUGGAUUUCCUUUGUAGCCCCA